AUUGAACGCUGGCGGCAGGCCUAACACAUGCAAGUCGAGCGGAGCGGCGGACGGGUGAGUAAUGCCUAGGAAUCUGCCUGGUCGUGGGGGAUAACGUCCGGAAACGGGCGCUAAUACCGCAUACUAUCAGAUGAGCCUCGGUCGGUUUAGCUAGUUGUUGGGUUAACGGCUCACCAAGGCGACGAGCCCUAGCUGGUCUGAGAGGAUGACCAGCCACACGGGAACUGAGACACGGUCCAGACUCCUACGGGAGGCAGCAGUGGGGAAGAUUGCACAAGGGGCGCAAGCCUGAUGCAGCCAUGCCGCGUGUAUGAAGAAGGCCUUCGGGUUGUAAAGUACUUUCAGCGGGGAGGCGUUACCCGCAGAAGAAGCACCGGCUAACUCCGUGCCAGCCGCCGCGGUAAUUC
rnacentral:rRNA from 1 species